AAUGAUUUGGCAGAAUAGUGUGUUAAAUUUAGAAUUUAUUAAAGUACGUUAGUACAUUCAUUU
rnacentral:tRNA from 1 species